UGAUGUCGGUUCCUCCUCCUGUGUGCAGUCAAUCAGGAGGAUUUUACGACGUCGCAGAGAAAUUCGGGUCUUUUUCACCCAGGAAGCUUCAGGCUGCGGCCGGUGAUCAAAAAGCUUCCUGGUUUUGCGAGACCCAACAAAA